GUGUGUGUGCCCACCUCCUCCGACCUACCGUCCGACCGACCGACAAACACACAAACCCACAGAGACUCACACGCUCAAACGGGGAGCCUCUUCUUCUGCCCUGCGGAUGCGGAGAAAAGAAAUCAAGAGUCAAAAAGUUUGAGGAUGCCUCCGGCCUUUUUGGCGUCCGUUUCUCCUCUGCAUUUCCUUCAUCUUUCCACUUUAUUAACCAAAAGCGGACGGUACAAGCCUUGGACGAUCGCCGAUUGUUUUAUUUUCCCGCCGACUGAUGGCCGACGUCGUGUCGUUACAAGUGCGAAAGGAACGUCAAACUAUCGAAAACAAGAAAACAUUUCAAACCAAACAAGGGCUCAGCGAUGACGUCGGCGGCCACCGACGGAAUCCCAUCGGCUUUUCUUUCCAGCCUUAGACGAAAUGGACGACAAAGAAAUUCUUACAAAAACAAAAGAAAGAAAAACUCUGAUGCAGGAUUAAAUGAGUCUGUUGGUUUACAACGAAAAUGUUUCUAUUGAUUCUCAUCGCUCAUUCACGAAGCUCUUUUGCAUAAGCUAUGGAUGGAACACGCCUCUCGACUAAAUACGACUUUUUAGUCCGUCUCUCCCCGCCGGUGGUAUUCUUGUGCAGCCCAGUCUGAUGGGGAGUCUAUUCAGUUUUUGUGAUGCCGAGUUCAUUUCGCAGCUUAUUAAUAGGAUGAUGUGGCCGAGUUGAACUGAAAGAUAUACAAAAACCUGUCCAGCCAUCCGUCCGUCCUGCUGGUGGCCAAGGCCGGCCUUGGACUCGGGAGAAACGGUCAUAAAUAGGCGGACGAGGCCGUCGGUUGAAUCGCCGGAGCUUUCAGUCCACUUGACGGACGUCGGAUUGCCUCCUCGAUCAAAACGGACUGAAGGACUGCCGAAGAAGGUGGGGGCCCAUAAAUUUGUUUCAGCGGUUUUUGC